GGUUGUGGCUCAGAGGUAGAGUGCUUGCCUGGUAUACGUGAGGCUCUGGGUUCAAUCCUCAACACCA
rnacentral:tRNA from 1 species